GAUGAACGCUGGCGGCGUGCCUAAUACAUGCAAGUCGAGCGACCAAACGAGGAGCUUGUUCCUCUGAGGUUAGCGGCGGACGGGUGAGUAACACGUGGAUAACCUCCCUUUAAGCCUGGGAUAACUUCGGGAAACCGAAGCUAAUACCGGAUAAUAAAUUUAACCGCAUGGUUCAAUAUUGAAAGACGGUUUUGCUUUCCUUAAUAAUUGGACCCCCCCGCAUUAGCUAGUUGGUAAGGUAACGGCUUACCAAGGCAACGAAGCGUAGCCGACCUGAGAGGGUGAUCGGCCACACUGGAACGGAGACACGGUCCAGACUCCUACGGGAGGCAGCAGUAGGGAAUCUUCCGCAAUGGGCGAAAGCCUGACGGAGCAACGCCGCGUGAGUGAUGAAGGUCUUCGGAUCGUAAAACUCUGUUAUUAGGGAAGAACAAAUGUGUAAGUAACUAUGCACGUCUUGACGGUACCUAAUCAGAAAGCCACGGCUAACUACGUG
rnacentral:rRNA from 1 species